rnacentral:rRNA from 1 species
GACGGAGGAUGCAAGCGUUAUCCGGAAUCACUGGGCGUAAAGCGUCUGUAGGCGGCUUACUAAGUCAACUGUUAAAUCUUGAGGCUCAACCUCAAAAUCGCAGUCGAAACUAUUAGGCUAGAGUAUAGUAGGGGUAAAGGGAAUUUCCAGUGGAGCGGUGAAAUGCGUAGAGAUUGGAAAGAACACCGAUGGCGAAGGCACUUUACUGGGCUAGUACUAACACUCAGAGACGAAAGCUAGGGUAGCAAAUGGG